rnacentral:lncRNA from 12 species
GUCGCCGGGAGGGAGGAGGAAAUCUCCGAUCCAGCGCAGUGCUAUUCAUUUUUUUGCUUGGAACGUGCCCGAAAGCUGCUCGGGGCCCAGAAAGCUGGCGCCCAGACCAGCCUGGGGAGGAUGGAGAGAGAGGGGAAUGCUGCAGGGGUGGGGUGGGGUGGGGUGGGGUGGAGGGAAGCAGCAGGUGCCCAGGUCCACAGGCCUAAGAGGACGCGGGGAGCCGCAAGAGGCGGCGCGUGGGGGCUCCGCGGUCGCUCACCGGGGAGAGGGGGGCUUUUAACUUCUCCUAAGAGCUCUGAGCGAGCUCCCGGAGGCCACUGGAAGGCCGGACAACCCGAGGGCACAGCCUGGAGGCAGGCCGUCGCGUGGGGGCGGGCGCCGGAAUUCACUGCGCAAGGUUCCUCUGCACUGCCCAGCAUAGAGGUAGCGUCCUGGAACCUACCAGAAGCCGGCAUCGCGCACGCACAGAGGGGCUGAGGAACAAGCGGCUCUCUUGGGUUGCUCCUUCUGCCCCAGUCAAGCCUCAGCUAAGCAGCCCUCCUCAGGUACCCAAGAGCUUCCUCCAGAAGGGUUUAUCCAGGGAAACCUUGUCUGAUGUUCCAACUUAAGACCUACCUCACAAUCGCCCUUCCAGAAGAUCCCCCUUACCGCUAGCUGCUCCCCAACCCAGUCCCUCUUGGUCCCCUAUUCCACUUUAUUCUUCUGCACAGCCCUUAACACUGACCUUAUGUUACAGACGUUAUAUGUCAAAAAUGUCUGUUAAAUUGCUCACUUAGUGUCUAGUUCCUACUCUAAAAUCAAAACUCUGUGGGACUACCCAAAGUGCCAACACCCAGAUCAGAGGCUGGCAUGUGGUAGGUCCCAUGUAAACACUGUCAAUGAGUGUCUACGAGAGGUAGGGUGAGAGGAGGCAGGGACUGAGGCCUCAGAGGGGCGGCGGUUCCUUAUGGCCCUUCGGGGUCCCCAUAGUGUGUAGACAUGGACCCCCAGAGCUCCCCAUUUACCCCACUCUGUCUUUUGGCUCCUGCUUCCCUCUCAGAGGACACUCGCACUGCCCCAAGUGGGGUGAGAUCAGGAGUUGGCAGCCUGUUGGCAUCUGAGGCUUGGCGGCCCUCCUGUGCCCUUCCCCAUACUGCCAGCGCCCCCUCUCUGCCACUCUUUCCCUCCUUCUCCUUCCCUUUCUUACCCUCUAAAGCCGUCCACCAUCCCCUUUAUGGUGCCUUCAGCCUCAGAAUCCAGCCCGGAGCCCCCACCCAGACGGGGCUGGCCUGCCAGGAGAAGUGAUCCUUCCCAGGGAAGUAGAGCCAGACCUUAGUGUGGCUGCCAUGGUUUUUCUUGGUAUGGACUCUGGCUCCCAGUUUCCUUCAAAACCAAGAUAAAAACCAUUAAGAUUCUUUCCAUCUCAGGGGUCUUUUGGGGAAGACUCCUGUGGGGCACAUUAGGGAGAUGGGACAAAACAAGCCUGCUAUUAUUUUUG